AGCUUCAGGAUUGUUCCCUAAUGUAGAACUCAUCUUUGUACUGUUGUAUCAUUCUGAACAUUGUUAAGACAGCUAGCUAAGUUAGUGCUACCGCUACGCUAGCUCAUGUAUUAGCUGUGAUAUGUAAUGUGAGUGCUAACGGUGUAGCUGGAUUAGGACUUGAUCCGGAUCUGAACCAGUGGAGGUUCGCUGGAGAGCCAGGAAAGAAGAACAACUUGGACAGAACGGUGUGUGGUGUUGCCAGCCGUGGUAUCAUUUCUGUGGACCCCAGACAUCAUCUCAUUUCAUUCUCUCUAACACCGAUAACAUAACACAAACAUCUACCGGGGUAGUAGUCGUCAAUUGACAGAACGGACUGAACUCUUAACUUCUUAUAAAAAGAAGGGAGACUAUUAUUUGAACUUUUCUAUUUUAUUUUUUCAAUGAAAGAGCUCUAAUUGUUGUCAUUUUUAUUUUUCAAUAUACUGCUUAAUAUUUACUGUGUGAGGCAAUAAAUUGUCAACUUUC